rnacentral:rRNA from 1 species
GAUGAACGCUGGCGGCGUGCUUAACACAUGCAAGUCGAACGAUGAAGCCCAGCUUGCUGGGUGGAUUAGUGGCGAACGGGUGAGUAACACGUGAGUAACCUGCCCUUAACUCUGGGAUAAGCCUGGGAAACUGGGUCUAAUACCGGAUAGGAGCGCCUACCGCAUGGUGGGUGUUGGAAAGAUUUAUCGGUUUUGGAUGGAUUCGCGGCCUAUCAGCUUGUUGGUGAGGUAAUGGCUCACCAAGGCGACGACGGGUAGCCGGCCUGAGAGGGUGACCGGCCACACUGGGACUGAGACACGGCCCAGACUCCUACGGGAGGCAGCAGUGGGGAAUAUUGCACAAUGGGCGCAAGCCUGAUGCAGCGACGCCGCGUGAGGGAUGACGGCCUUCGGGUUGUAAACCUCUUUCAGUAGGGAAGAAGCGAAAGUGACGGUACCUGCAGAAGAAGCACCGGCUAACUACGUGCCAGCAGCCGCGGUAAUACGUAGGGUGCGAGCGUUAUCCGGAAUUAUUGGGCGUAAAGAGCUCGUAGGGCGGUUUGUCGCGUCUGUCGUGAAAGUCCGGGGCUUAACCCCGGAUCUGCGGUGGGUACGGGCAGACUAGAGUGCAGUAGGGGAGACUGGAAUUCCUGGUGUAGCGGUGGAAUGCGCAGAUAUCAGGAGGAACACCGAUGGCGAAGGCAGGUCUCUGGGCUGUAACUGACGCUGAGGAGCGAAAGCAUGGGGAGCGAACAGGAUUAGAUACCCUGGUAGUCCAUGCCGUAAACGUUGGGCACUAGGUGUGGGGACCAUUCCACGGUUUCCGCGCCGCAGCUAACGCAUUAAGUGCCCCGCCUGGGGAGUACGGCCGCAAGGCUAAAACUCAAAGGAAUUGACGGGGGCCCGCACAAGCGGCGGAGCAUGCGGAUUAAUUCGAUGCAACGCGAAGAACCUUACCAAGGCUUGACAUGUUCUCGAUCGCCGUAGAGAUACGGUUUCCCCUUUGGGGCGGGUUCACAGGUGGUGCAUGGUUGUCGUCAGCUCGUGUCGUGAGAUGUUGGGUUAAGUCCCGCAACGAGCGCAACCCUCGUUCCAUGUUGCCAGCACGUAAUGGUGGGGACUCAUGGGAGACUGCCGGGGUCAACUCGGAGGAAGGUGAGGACGACGUCAAAUCAUCAUGCCCCUUAUGUCUUGGGCUUCACGCAUGCUACAAUGGCCGGUACAAUGGGUUGCGAUACUGUGAGGUGGAGCUAAUCCCAAAAAGCCGGUCUCAGUUCGGAUUGGGGUCUGCAACUCGACCCCAUGAAGUCGGAGUCGCUAGUAAUCGCAGAUCAGCAACGCUGCGGUGAAUACGUUCCCGGGCCU